ensembl:lncRNA
GGGAGAUCCAUCAUGGCCUAAAGAGGAUUUGUUGCCUGUUCCCUGGGCCAGCAGUGCAGCCUGAGUUCUGCAAUAGUCAGCCAAAGGCAUGCAGAGCAGGUCCGGCUCCCUGCCACUCAUCUCCCAGUCUUUCUUGCUUCUCUAGCUGGGUUUAAAACAGAAAGCUCAGCAGCUCCCCCCUGAAACUCCAUCCCUGCUUCAUAAAAAGACUUGAGUCUCAAGACAGAAAAAUGGUCCAGGAAAAUCCAUCUCAAAACUGGCCCUUGUGGUCCAGGACAACGGUUCAUGGGAGGUGAAAGUCAUGUGCAUCUGCCCUAAAGACACCGCAGCAGCUGAAUGCCUCCUGGAGGCUGGAGGAUUAGAUGCUCUUUCCAUUCCUCAGCCUUUCUGCAGACAUUCUGCUGGCCCAUCUCUGCCAAGCACAGUGAAGGGAACUGCCUACCUGUGGGACACUGAGCUGAGCCAUGGAGCUCAUUCUACAUUUACUGAAGGGUGGACAGGAGAUAUGUGGAGCCACUACACCUGGGUCCAUCAAUAACAGCACAGUUUGAAAUACACUACUUGGCACAGGUUUACAGCACGGCUAGGUCUUCUUGGACUUACUCAUGAUAGAAUAACACUGCACUGUGCUUUCAUUACUUGCAUAUAAGUUGAUGCAGAGAUACUGGAAUUUUUAAGGAUAUAAGAAGAUAGAGUCGCCUAAUCUGUUCUUCUGAAUCACACGAGAACACCUAUAGGUAAUGGCCACGGCUAUCUGAUGCUGGAGGAAUGCAGCAAGUGAAUAAUUGUGAUUGUGCACUGCAGUAGACUACAGUUGGUGAAACUGAAAUGGGAACUCUUGAACUCUUUCUCUGCCAGAUAUGGGAUAGAGAAAUUGCCUACAGGCUGGUCUAGGUGAAGCUGCAUUAAGCUAAGCUGUAGAGGAAAUUAUUGUUGUAUUCACUGCAAGGGCUGCUAUGACAACAGACGAAUGCUGCAGGUGGCACAAAAAUCCCAUGUCAUUUCUCCUCCAGAGGGCCUAACAAGAGCAUUUCACUUGAGUCACGAGACAUUAUUUAAGUACCUUGAAGGACUGCUUGUGCUUUCUUCCAGCAUCUCCAAUCCAGCAUGCUUUCACCCCACGGGCUCAGCAGUCGCACUGCGCAGUGAUGCUUUGAGUCCAUCCUCUCCUUUGCAGCUGUAUGACACUCCCGUGGGCUAAACUCCAACAGCAGCAUCUCCAUUUGCACACCGAAGACAGAAACGUUUUCACUGAAAACAAAGCAACAAACACCAGCUCAGCCCAAAGCCAACAAAGCCCGGUGGGAGCAGAGACACCUUCGUGUCCAACUCGCGCAGUGCCAGAAGACAGCAGAAUGCAGCAGUGGGUGGCUGCCAGCAAGCACUGUCUCCUUCUCCACAGUGUAGGAGAUGGCGUGGGUCAAAUGGGAGUUUUAAUUACAUGACAGAGUUUUUAAUUAAUUCUGUUAACUGUUGGAGGCAUUUCUCCAGCAACAGCAGGAAAGGGUGGCAGUUACCGCUCCGUGCUGCGCCUCGAGCUGUGCAGCAGCAAAGCAUCCUCCUGCCCUGCCCCUACCCAAGGCACUGGGAAGAAAUAAAUGUGUGAAAAUCAGCGUUCAUCUGACAAAAGAGAGCUGAGGAAGCCACGGUGCCGGCUGGCUGCCUCCAUCCUGCACACAUCUUUCAUGUCUCAGGUGUGCUUUGGAAAUGAACACCACUUGACCAUAUUAAUG